rnacentral:rRNA from 1 species
UUGUCCGGAAUAGCUGGGUGUAAAGGGAGCGUAGGCGGGAAAGCAAGUUGGAAGUGAAAUGCAUGGGCUUAACCCAUGAGCUGCUUUCAAAACUGUUUUUCUUGAGUGAAGUAGAGGCAGGCGGAAUUCCUAGUGUAGCGGUGAAAUGCGUAGAUAUUAGGAGGAACACCAGUGGCGAAGGCGGCCUGCUGGGCUUUAACUGACGCUGAGGCUCGAAAGCGUGGGUAGCAAACAGGAUUAGAUACCCUGGUAGUCCACGCUGUAAACGAUGAUUACUAGGUGUGGGGGAUUUCGGUCCUCCGUGCCGGAGCAAACGCAAUAAGUAAUCCACCUGGGGAGUACGGCCGCAAGGCUGAAACUCAA